CAUUUAUUCCGGUAACAGUUAACAGUAUUUUUCGUCUGUCGCUGAAAGUGUGAAAUAUCGUACAGCAGAGUAGCCGGCGCCUGCGGGUCUGCCUGGACUAAUAAGCUUUCAAACUAAGGUGACAAAGUUUGCGAAAGAAUUGUUCUGAAAUUACUGUUUGCUCUGUUUCCAAACACGUUUUACUGUUUGAUCGGGGGUAAACAAAACAGCAACAAGGAAAACGUCGGGAAAUAAUUCACUUACUUUGCUGGGUCUUGCUGUUGCCUUAGCCCAGCCGCGAGUCGGUUGAGGUUAAGCAAGUGGCUACUCUCAUAAGAACAGCAUGAAUAAUAAAGCAUUACUGGCGACAUUGAAAAGCAUUAAUCAGCAUUUUGACACUAGCGGUGGAGCGUGAUGUUUCCCAGGAACUUUUCAUACGCUAUGUUUGAUUUUUACAACUUGCCUCUUUUUAUAUUCGUGAAUCAGUGUCGUUUUAAUGGCUGCAAAAUGUUGCAACCUUUUUAGAACGCACAGAACGAAAGAGAUCUAUUUCCUAAUCCGAAAAUCUACCAAUAGCAUUCGAUUUCCUAAGGGUUAUUUAAAACCAAACAAACCCUCUUUAAAAGGUGCCGCUGUAAUUAAUCAAAUUUGACAGAUGUCAUUAAUUAUCGCCAAAGGUAGGCGAAAAUCUGAUUAAAUAUGUCUGCCAAGGCUCGCCAAAACACGAAGCCUAAAGAAUUUAGAGUAGACUUCCUCUGAUGAGGUUUGCUAACUCAAGGUGAUGCUAUAAGGAUUAUAUUCAUGAACAGCAGAUCCUGUGACAAAGCUACCGUGAUCCUCUAAUAUGAGCUGACAUUAUCUACCACGAAUGUAUGAGUGCAUGUGCCAGGAUACUCCUUACAUAAUAAGCACUCAAAGAAAGGAAAACGUCCUGAUAAUGGUCUUUGGAUUUCUAAGGGACUUAACUACAGAGAUACACUGCAGAAAUCUCAACUGCAGAGGUGACACAUCCGACUGCUUCAAUUACAUGAAACAGCAUAAAACAUCGACCUUCACAGCUAUCGUUCCACUCAUCACCGUUGUUUCGACUCGAUUUUUUAAAUAUUUUAUGGUUAGAAACCCCACCGUUUUAGUUUCUUCAGGUGUGAAGUGCCAGAUUAGUUCUAGAUUCAAAGGAAUUACUGCUUAUUAAAAGAUGUUAAAUUCACACCCUC